rnacentral:tRNA from 1 species
UUAUCAUUAAUCCCCAAAAUUAAUAUUUUAAUUAAACUACCCCUUG